rnacentral:lncRNA from 1 species
GAGAUCCUAAGCCAAGCUUGGAACUCUGAAGAGUCUCCCUCAUUAAAAACCUUACAAGGAAAACCCAUUGGGACAAAACCUUGCAAGGGAAAAAGAGUAGAGCUCUCCAAAGCCUAGGGAUUGGCCAGUGAGCUCUUGUGCCUUAGAACCAGUGUGGUUGGACACAAGAAGCUCUGGAUCACGGCCUAAUAGGUGCAGCAACACUUCACAGCUUUGCGCACACUUCACACUUCAGCUUCACCUCUUCAUGGAACCGGUUUGAAGUCUCCCCCUCUCAACUGACUUCACAGCCAUCUUAGAGAAGCUAGGACACGACCAGAUCAUCUUCAAAACACCAGUAAGGCUGAUCAACACUUCAAACUAUGCUUGCCCUCUUCAUAGAACUGGUUUGGAUCUCCCCCUCUCAACAGACUUCACAGCCACCUUAGAGAAGCUAGGAAAUGACCAGGAACAUCUUUAGUGAGACUCAAGCAAUGGUACCUGAUACAUUAUCCCAAAGGUGCAUCAGUACUUAUCAAGGAACAUCACACAAUCCAUUCAAACAUUUUAAGUAUCAUUUCUAGACUUUGAUUUGAAAUGAUGAAUGUAUUGAAUUGAAUUGAGCUUAGAACACUUCCCUUUUGUUUUGGUGAGUUCCCACUCGGCCAUUGCACCAUCUCCAUGGCAUCAUCAACUUCUUGGAAAGGCAGAAUGGAUUCAUCAGCUUCUCAUCAAUCACUUCACCAUAGAAGCCGCUUUGAUGAGUUCACCUUCACCCUUAGACUGCCUAGAAUAGCUCCGGCUGAUGAUCCUUUGUAGGAGCCUUUGCAAAGACUUGUUACUGACCAUGGAUCAUAUGCAUUAAGACUCCCCCUCAAGCUUAGAACCAAGACUAGAAGGAGCUAAGCUUGUGAUGAUCAUAUGCAUCCCCAUGGUCUUAUAACUAUCAGUCUUCCAUGAUAGCUUUCUUCUUGUGAGUUUACUCUCUUCCUUAACCAGGAACUAGGGUGUUUGAAUCACCAUAGAGAGCCUCACAAGACACACUUCUCAUUGCAUAAUGACCCAUGCUACACUUCCUGUAGACUUUGGACUGGAUAUUUCCAAUGGUAUUAUGCAAUGGCCAUCUCUCAUUGCAUAAUCAAUCACACUACACUUCCUGUAGAUUAUGGACUAACAUGUCCUAGUGAUGAUAUGCAAUGGCACUAGACCUUUUGUUGAGAUGAGGAAGUCAUUAUGAGAAGGAGAGGAAGAGCUAAGCAAGUGAUGGGAAAGAAGAUGAGGAAGUCAUUAUGAGAAGGAGAGGAAGAGCUAAGCAAGUGAUGGAAAGAGUACGGACAGUACGGCCUAUGUACGGACAGGGGCUUGGCCGUACAUCUGAGGAAACAUGAAGGAAGAAGGAGAUGGGUGAGUAAAGCCUCUAGAGUACACGGAAGGUCUCAAGACUGAUCAGACCGUUUAGGGAUAAGGGCGGGACGAGCCUUAUCCAUCCAGGCCGUGGACAGGCUGUAAAGGCCAAGCGUGUGAGCCUUACCAUCCGUGAAUUCAAAAGAGACGCUCCCCCCUUUGGCUUGACUUCACAUUCUUAUGACUAGUGCUGCUUUCUCUUGACUUGUAAACCCUAAUGCCUCUUCUAUAAAAAUUGUAACCUCAUCUCAUAAUAAGAUUAGACAGUUCUAAACAAUCUCUCUCUUUACUCAUUUCAUUAUGAUUCUCCAUUAGUCUCUAAUCUGUCUCUUAAUCUCUUAUUCUCCUUCUAUAAUCCUUUCUAAACUCAGAUAAUCAUUUAUAUCCUUAAAUAUCAUAUGGUAUCAGAGCCAGGUUGAUUGAAAUCUGAGUUCGUGAGUGAUUCUCUUAAGGAUUCAAGUUUGAAACUUUAAGAGAACAAGUGAGUGUGUUUGAGAGUUUCUUGAGAGUUCAAAAGCUCAAGGUACUUUGCGUGUGUCUUGGUGAUCCGUGGGAGGUUCAUUUGAAGACUCAAGGGUAAAUCUGUGUUCUAGAGGGCAGUGUGGGUUCUCAGUACAAGAUCUAACCGGUUGUUCAAGCUGUAGACGUCAAGCUGUUCAAGAUGGAAAGUGGUAUGAAGAUGAAGGUCGCGGUGACAUUCAAAGGAAGCAACUACCUAGUCUGGUAUAGGAUGGUGAAGACUUCUGUGGGAAGCAAGGGUUUGUGGAAGCAUAUCACAUCUGGUGAAGUUCCAAAGGCAAUUACUCAGGAGGGUGAUGCAGAGAGCUCCGAGGAGAGUGUUGUGGAGAAGUGGCAACAAGAAGACAUGAUGGUAAUGUCAGUCCUUCAUGCCUCUUUGGAGCCGGCUAUCCUAGAUGCUUAUAGCUACUGUGAGACAGCCAAGGAGCUGUGGGAUACUCUGAAGAAAGUGUAUGGAAACGUUUCUAACCUGAACCGAGUGUUUGAAGUCAAAAAGGCAAUCAACGAGUUAACCCAAGAUGACAUGGAGUUUACUAAGCACUUGGGGAGGUUCAGGACACUGUGGUCUGAGUUGGAGAUGUUGAGACCAAGCACGGUUGAUCCAGAGCUUCUAAAUGAGAGGCGUGAGCAGGACAAGGUCUUUGGGUUGCUGCUCACAUUGAACGCAAGCUACAAUGGUCUCAUUCAGCACAUGCUAAGGUCCGAGAAGUUACCUGACCUUGAGGAGGUGUGUGCUCAGAUACAGAGGGAGCAGGGCUCUAUGGGUUUGUUUGGAGGCAAGGGAGACUUAUCUCUUGCCAAUGCUGUGCAAUCUGACCGUGAAGAGCCUCCACAAGCCAACAAAGCUGGUUACAACAAGUAUGAGGAUAAGAAGUUCAAUGGGAACUGUGAUCAUUGCAAGAGGUAUGGGCACAAGAAGAUUCAAUACUGGAUACUCGAUCCCCACUUGAAGCCGGCUAAGUUCAUAAAGGUGAAAGAGGCAAAAGCUCACAUGACUGAAGGAUCAAGCGGAGCAGGGCCAUCCAACCGAGGAACUGAAGUGGAGAACCGUGAAGGAAAUGGAAAAGCUUUGGUGACCUAUACUGGAGCUAUCAACCCCCGAGGCAAUGAUCAAGACUUCAUCAGGAGGUCCGAGAUGGAUGCACUCAUCAAAAUGCUCAAGGAUAAUGGUAACAUUCAUGGGUAUUCAUUUGGUGCUUCUAUGAUUGCUAGAACUAUAGAAAUGACUCACAGUGAGGCUGAGGUUGCUAGGAUUGAUAGUAAGGCUGGAAUUGAGCAUUGCAUUGAUAGAAAUGCUAGGAUGAAUGCAUAUAGAUCAAAAUGUAUCUGCCAUCAUGCUAGCAAUGCAUCCAAACCAUUGAUUAUAGAUUCAGGUGCAUCUCAUCAUAUGAUUAGUGACACCAACCUGCUGAUUAAAGAUAUAGAACCUACUAAUGGAUGUGUGAUGAUUGCAAAUGGAGAUAAGAUACCUAUUAAGGGAAUAGGAAACUUAAAGCUAUUUGAUAAGAACACUAGAGCAUUUUAUAUUCCUGAAUUCACAUCAAAUCUACUUUCAGUUAAGAAAUGCACUACUGAUUUGAAUUGCAAUGUUAUAUUCAGUCCUAAUGAUGUGAAGUUUCAGGAUAUUGAGAGCAGCCAAUUGAUUGGAAAAGGAGUGACAAAGGGAGAGUUAUACAUGCUUGAGAAGCUUGAUCCUGUUUCCAAUCAUAACUGCUCAUUUACUUCUGCUUCUAGUUUGAAUAAAAAUGCAUUGUGGCAUGCUAGACUAGGUCAUCCCCAUGAGAGGGCUUUAAACUUGAUGUUACCAGGUGUGGUUUUUGAAAAUGAUAAGUGUGAAGCUUGCAUUUUAGGCAAGCAUUGUAAGAAUGUGUUUCCAAGAACAUCUACUGUUUAUGAAAAUUGCUUUGAUUUGAUUCAUACUGAUGUGUGGACUGCACCUAGUUUCUCUAGAGACAAUCAUAAGUAUUUUGUCACAUUCAUUGAUGAAAAAUCUAAAUACACCUGGUUAACACUAAUUCCAUCAAAAGAUAGGGUGAUAGAUGCAUUUAAGAACUUUCAAGCUUAUGUGACUAACCAUUAUCAUGCUAAGAUUAAAAUUUUGAGAUCAGAUAAUGGAGGAGAGUACACAAGCUAUGCGUUCAAAAGUCAUCUAGAUCAUCAUGGAAUACUUCAUCAAACAAGCUGUCCCUACACACCACAACAGAAUGGUGUAGCUGAGAGGAAGAACAGGCACUUGAUGGAGGUGGCUCGGUCAUUAAUGUUCCAAGCCAAUGUACCUAAGAGAUUCUGGAGUGAUACUUUAUCCACUUCUUGCUAUCUAAUCAACUGAAUGCCUACAAGGGUGUUGAAGGAUCAAGCACCAUUUGAAGUACUAAACAAGCGCAAGCCAUCCUUGGCAUACAUGAGAGUGUUUGGAUGCUUAUGCUAUGUGUUGGUACCAGGAGAGUUGAGGAACAAGCUAGAAGCAAGAAGCAGAAAGGCAAUGUUCAUUGGCUACUCAACAACUCAAAAAGGAUAUAAGUGUUAUGAUCCAGAAGCUAGAAGGGUACUUGUAUCUAGAGAUGUGAAGUUUAUUGAAGAAAGAGGAUACUAUGAAGAAAAGAAUCAAGAAGACUUGAGGGAUCUUACAUCAGAUAAGGCUGGAGUCUUAAGGAUUAUUUUGGAAGGUCUCGGUAUCAAGAUGAACCAGAAUCAGUCCACAAGAAGUGGACAACCAGAAGAGAGCUCAACUGAACCAAGUAGAGCUGCUCAAACACCUCACCUUGAUCAUGAGGGGGGAAGUGAACCUGAAACUCAAGAAAAUGGCCAAGAAGGAGUCGGCUUGAGUGAAGAAGGAGAAGAGUUCAACUCAGGUUCUCAUCAUCAAGGUGAGCAAGACCGAGGAGAUGAAGAACAUCAAAGUGAAGCACAAGAACUGCAUACACAAGAUGAGCCAGUUCAAGUGCAAGAACAACCAGUAUUGAGGAGAAGCACAAGGCUUAGAAAGGAUCCUUCCUCUUGGGUAAACACGCGAGUGUACUACAAUGCCCAAGCUGUGGAGCAUCCUUCUCAAGUUGUGUGUUCCUUUGCUCAAUACCCUAAAGAACAUUGUGCAUUCAUGGUUAACUUGGAUGAGAACUAUAUUCCAAGAAGCUAUGAAGAAGCUAUCAUGGAUAAAGAAUGGAAGGAAUCAGUUGGAGCUGAGGCAGGAGCCAUGAUCAAGAAUGAUACAUGGUAUGAAAGUGAGUUACCAAAAGGGAAGAAGGCUGUGAGUAGUAAAUGGAUAUUCACAAUCAAGUAUAAGGCUGAUGGAAAGGUUGAGAGGAAGAAGUCAAGGCUAGUAGCAAGAGGUUUCACUCAAACUUAUGGAGAAGAUUACAUAGAAACCUUUGCACCAGUAGCUAAACUACAUACAAUACGGAUUGUAUUAAGCUUGGCUGUGAAUCUUGGAUGGGGGUUAUGGCAAAUGGAUGUGAAGAAUGCAUUCCUACAAGGUGAACUUGAGGAUGAAGUAUAUAUGCAUCCACCUCCAGGCCUGGAACACUUAGUGAAGAGAGGGAAUGUGUUGAGAUUGAAGAAAGCUAUCUAUGGGCUGAAGCAAUCACCAAGAGCUUGGUACAACAAGCUGAGCACUACUCUGAAUGGCCGAGGCUUCAAGAAGUCUGAACUAGACCACACUCUCUUCACACUCACGACUCCCUCAGGUAUGAUUGCACUUCUUGUGUAUGUUGAUGAUAUCAUUAUCACAGGAAGUGAUAAGGAAGGUAUCAUAGCAACCAAGGAGUUCCUUAAAUCCAUGUUUGAGAUUAAAGAUUUGGGAGAAAUGAAAUACUUUCUUGGAAUUGAGAUAUGUAGAUCCAAGGAAGGUUUAUUCAUGUCCCAAAGGAAGUAUACACUUGAUCUUUUGAAAGGUGCAGGUGCUUAUGGAGGCAAGACAGCAAGGAUGCCUAUGGAGGAUGGUUACAAAGUCCCACGAGAGGGGGAGAUUGAAGACAGCAAACCUUAUCAGGAUCCUAAACUCUAUAGAAAACUAGUUGGCAAAUUGAUUUAUCUUACCAUAACUAGACCUUACAUUUGUUUUGCUGUGAAUCAGGUGAGUCAACACAUGCAAGUUCCUAAGGAGCAUCAUUGGCGCAUGGUGGAGAGGAUCUUGAUGUAUCUCAACGGCUCACCUGAUCAAGGAGUAUGGAUGGGUUGCAAUGGAAGCACUGAAGUGGUUGGAUACUGUGAUGCAGAUUGGGCUGGUGAUAGAGCAGACAGGAGAUCAACCACAGGCUAUUGCACAUUCAUUGGAGGCAACUUGGUGACAUGGAAGAGUAAGAAGCAGAAGGUGGUCUCUUGCUCAAGUGCAGAAGCUGAGUAUAGAGCUAUGCUGAAGCUUACCAACGAGUUGGUGUGGAUCAAAGGCAUCUUGAAGCAUUUGGAGAUUGAUCAAGCCACGCCAAUGACAAUGCAUUGUGAUAACCAAGCAGCCAUUCACAUUGCAUCCAACUAGGUGUUUCAUGAGAGAACCAAGCACAUUGAAGUUGAUUGCCACAAGGUGAGGCAAAUGAUCAUUCUAGGAGUCAUCUUGCCAUGUUACACGAGGAGUGAAGAUCAGUUGGCUGAUGUGUUCACCAAGGCUGCAAGACAGAAGACAAUGGAGUCCAUUCAUAUCAGGUUGGGCCUCAUUGAUCUUGGGAAGAGAAGGAGCUGAUCCUCUUGGCUGUGAGGUCUUUACUCUUUUUCCCUCAUCAAGGUUUUGUCCCAAUGGGUUUUCCUUGGUGAGGUUUUUAAUGAGGAAGAUCUCAUAGCCAUCCAAGCUUAGGCUUUCACAAAGCUAAGCUUGAGGGGGAGUGUUGAGAUGAGGAAGUCAUUAUGAGAAGGAGAGGAAGAGCUAAGCAAGUGAUGGAAAGAGUACGGACAGUACGGCCUAUGUACGGACAGGGGCUUGGCCGUACAUCUGAGGAAACAUGAAGGAAGAAGGAGAUGGGUGAGUAAAGCCUCUAGAGUACACGGAAGGUCUCAAGACUGAUCAGACCGUUUAGGGAUAAGGGCGGGACGAGCCUUAUCCAUCCAGGCCGUGGACAGGCUGUAAAGGCCAAGCGUGUGAGCCUUACCAUCCGUGAAUUCAAAAGAGACGCUCCCCCCUUUGGCUUGACUUCACAUGCUUAUGACUAGUGCUGCUUUCUCUUAACUUGUAAACCCUAAUGCCUCUUCUAUAAAUAUUGUAACCUCAUCUCAUAAUAAGAUUAGACAGUUCUAAACAAUCUCUCUCUUUACUCAUUUCAUUAUGAUUCUCCAUUAGUCUCUAAUCUGUCUCUUAAUCUCUUAUUCUCCUUCUAUAAUCCUUUCUAAACUCAGAUAAUCAUUUAUAUCCUUAAAUAUCAUACCUUUGUCUCUACAUUCUUGGCUGUUGGCGAGUUACAUGUAUCACUCCUUGUGUACCUAACACCACCACAACUCAAUGCAAGAUCAGAUCAUCCCAUUGGGAUCAAACUAAGAUCUUCCAUCCUGUUUGAUCACCAAUGCCACAUCAGUAUAUAAUACUUGAAACAAGCCAGACAAUCAAGGCAAGAACAAGUAAAUUUCAAUCUCUAAAAUGACAAUGCAAGCUCUAAACAAUACAUUGACAUUCUAGGUUCAUUUUUUCAUUUUUCAGUUUUUUUUUUUUUUUUAAGUUCUCUAAAUGCAAUGCAAGCUUAUAUCAGUACAUUUGCAAUUUAGGUUCAUUUUUAAAUGCAUCACUACAUGAAUGCACAAUCUUAAAGCAUUAGCUAUAUGAAUGCAACAGGUUCAAUCCAUGAGACAUAUUAAAGCUAUGCUCAACAGUUUCAAUCAAAACCAAUGAUGCAAGCAACUUAGACAAUUUCUAAUUGAUGCUAGACUUUCAUUGAUGGAUUAAACAUAGGCAUUAGCAUCAGUACACACUCGGAUUGAACUUAGACAAUAUGAGACAUGCUUAUGUAUGCAAAGCAGCUUUUCAAACAUGAUGCAAGUAGUAGAGACAUUCUACUCAAUUCUACAACCCAUUCAUGAUGAUUCAAGCUAUGGCAACACACAAGACAGUGCAAUAACCCAAAACAUGAGAUUCUGGGACUCUAGACACCACUCACAGCACAAUAAAUAAAGACACAAGCUCUUAUUAAGGGUUAGGAGGUUUGCUUACAAACAAAAGAUCCGAGCUAAUCUCUUGAACCUCCAUGGGCACGGUUCACUUGAACUUGGCAGGUUUGAGGCUUGGAUUCAGUAUCCAACACCUCUCCUUGGUGUGCCCAUCCCUCUUGCAAUGCUCACACUUCAGGCCUCUCCUAUCCCCCUUCUUGUAAGGCGCCUUGUUGGGCUGGGAGCUUCUUUCAGCUUGAGAAGCAAAGGAGAGUGUUUCCUUUGUUCCAAACAACCCGAUUGAUCCCUCCUCCUUUUGGACUUGGGAACACACUUCUUCAAGUGUUGGGAGCUUCUCAGACCUCAAGAUAUGUUGAAUCAAGGCGCUGUAGGCAGGGCUGAGGGUUAGUAGUAGGCCAAACACCUUGUCUUGCUCCCUUCUUUCAAUCAACACCUCCGGAUCAACAGAUUGGGGUCUAAGCAUCUCUAGCUCAGACCAAAGGGCUCUGAACUUGCCUAGAUGCGCAGUGAACUCCUCAUCUUCUUGGGAUAGGAUGUUGAUGGACUUCUUGAUCUCAAAUACUCGGCUGGUGUUGGAGAUGUUCCCAUAUAUCUUGUUAAGUGUACUCCAAAGGUCUUUAGCACUCUCACAGUAUGAGUAUGCUUCAAGGAUGGAUGGAGACAGUGAGCUAUGGAGAAUGGAUAAGACCUUGAGGUCUUCUUGUUCCCACUUCUCCUCAGAUACAGAUUUGGAACCGGAUUCACCAUCUGCUGAGCUUUCAUUUGAACCGGCAGUCUUGGAGAGCUUUGGAGCAUCCGUGAGGCAAUGGCUCCAUAAGCCUCUCCCUCCUAGAGCUGUUUUCACCAUACGUGACCAGAGAAGGUAGUUGGGACCAUUGAGAGUAACAACAAUGACAAUGAUUCUUUUGGACUCCAUGUUGAAGCCGGAUGAACAAGACUGUCAAAGAACUCUUCAAGGUAGUAUCUUGGGACAAGGUGAGCUGAAUCUUCAAGGGCGUGAGCUUGGGAUCUUGUGGAUGUUGCGGAAGCUUCUACCAGGAGUCUGAGCAACCUGGCUCUGAUACCAUGUGAGAUUUUCAGAGUACAAGUGCUUGAGUGAUGUAAGAACAGAUGAGAGAUUUGUGUAUGAUGAAGUAUGAAGAAUAGAAAUGAGUUUAAGAGAAUCAGAGAGAGUAUGGGAGAGACUAAGAGAUUAGGAACGUGUAUGGGAGAUUAGAGAGACUUAGUAACCAGAGAAUAAGAUCCAAGAACAAGUUUAUGAAGAAGAGAGACUCUCUCAGCUUAAGGGUUACAAAAUGAUCCUAAGAGGCUUAUUUAUGCCUUUACACAACUCAGAUCAUAAACCUAGAUCCUAAGGCUGUAAAUUAAAGAUAAAUGGAUGGUUAGGAUGAGAGGAAGCUGGUCUUUGAUGUUCUGGUGCUAGCUGGUCGUGGUUGGACUGAAUGGAGGGCUCAGAUUGCUUCAUUUGAAUUGGAUGGAUCAGAUGAGUCAAGGCUGUAAAGGUAAAGCACCUUUACCUUUCCAGCUCAUUCCAACAGCUCACCUUAUCCAUUUGAUUCUUCCUUUGCCUCCAAGACUCCCCAACUGACAUAAGGAAAGGAUUGGAUCAAAGUGAACCGCCCUCACAUUGCACAUCUUGAUUUGGGCUUAACCGGAUGACUUGGGCGAGAGGAGUGAGCUGUACGGUCAUUGGUACGGACCUCCUGUCCGUACCACUUGCCCUAUCUUUGUACAUUGCCCUAUCUUCCCUCUUGAUUACCCAGACAUCUUCAUGGCUUGCCCUAGGCCGUACAUGGCCGUACUGAACGCCCUAGCUUUGCACCACACUUCCAUCUUCUCUCUAACUCCUUCACAGCCUUCACAUGAUCAGUCUAAGUCUUUCCUAGACUUAACUUCACAAGAUAACUACUUCAGAACACCUCUUAGAAUCUCUUAAUCUCUUUAAUCUUUUCAUAUGAUUAUCCCUGAUUGGUUGAAUCAUGCUCUAAUACACAAAAGUGUAUAUUCUUGACAUCUUCUAGAGCUUUCCCUAUUGUUGUACAAGCUCUAUCUUCUCUUCAGUUCAACACUCCCCCUCAAGCUUGACUUUAGGAGAUCCUAAGCCAAGCUUGGAACUCUGAAGAGUCUCCCUCAUUAAAAACCUUACAAGGAAAACCCAUUGGGACAAAACCUUGCAAGGGAAAAAGAGUAGAGCUCUCCAAAGCCUAGGGAUUGGCCAGUGAGCUCUUGUGCCUUAGAACCAGUGUGGUUGGACACAAGAAGCUCUGGAUCACGGCCAAAUAGGUGCAGCAAUACUUCACAGCUUUGCGCACACUUCACACCUCAGCUUCACCUCUUCAUGGAACCGGUUUGGGNNNNN